CCAACAGGGAUUGCCUCAGUAACGGCGAGUGAAGCGGCAUCAGCUCAAAUUUGAAAUCUGGCUCCUUCGGGGUCCGAGUUGUAAUUUGUAGAGAGUGCUUCGGGGGAGAGUGCGGUCUAAGUCCGUUGGAACACGGCGUCAUAGAGGGUGAGAAUCCCGUAUGCGACCGCGGCUCGAGCCCGUGUGAAGCCUCUUCGACGAGUCGAGUUGUUUGGGAAUGCAGCUCAAAAUGGGUGGUAAAUUUCAUCUAAAGCUAAAUACUGGCUGGAGACCGAUAGCGCACAAGUAGAGUGAUCGAAAGAUGAAAAGCACUUUGGAAAGAGAGUUAAACAGURCGUGAAAUUGUUGAAAGGGAAGCGCUGGCAACCAGACCUGUCCGUAGGUGAUCAGCCGCUGUUCUCAGUGGUGCACUCGCUCUGCGAUCAGGCCAGCAUCGGUUCUGGCGGUCGGAUAAAGGCCUUGGGAAUGUAGCUUCACUUUGGGGGAGUCUUAUAGCCCUCGGUGCAAUGCGGCCAGCCGGGACCGAGGACCGCGCUUCGGCUAGGAUGCUGGCGUAAUGGUUGUCAGCGACCCGUCUUGAAACACGGACCAAGGAGUCUAACAUCUAUGCGAGUGUUUGGGUGUUAAACCCAUGCGCGGAAUGAAAGUGAACGGAGGUGAGAACCCUUAAGGGCGCAUCAUCGACCGAUCCAGAUGUCUUCGGAUGGAUUUGAGUAUGAGCAUUCAUGUUGGGACCCGAAAGGUAAUGAUCAGUCCUUAUUAUAUUUUAUCGAAUCCAAGCUAAUAGACUUUAUAGAUGGUGAACUAUGCCUGAAUAGGGUGAAGCCAGAGGAAACUCUGGUGGAGGCUCGCAGCGGUUCUGACGUGCAAAUCGAUCGUCAAAUUUGGGUAUAGGGGCGAAAGACUAAUCGAACCAUCGCGCUACAGGUGGUUAAUUAAUGUAUAUCGCGUUCGCGAGUACUUUCAGUCCCUCGGGGCGACAUCACUACUUUGCAUGAACAUAUCUUUGAGAUUGACAUGCUGCAGACCUUUCUUAUCGGGGGUUUGCUCACAGACCAAACAGUGGUGGCCGGGGUUCCCUUUCUUGGGGAACGCCUGGUUCAGAAAUGGCCGAGUUCUGCUCUUAAGGGAGUUGGUCUCGGGGCCGUGGAUUUAAUUCCGAGUCGAAAUCACUCGAUCGGUCGUGGGAUCUUAUAGUACAAACGCUAGUAGCUGGUUCCUGCCGAAGUUUCCCUCAGGAUAGCAGUAACGUUUUCAGUUUUAUGAGGUAAAGCGAAUGAUUAGAGGCCUUGGGGUUGAAACAACCUUAACCUAUUCUCAAACUUUAAAUAUGUAAGAAGUCCUUGUUACUUAGUUGAACGUGGACAUUUGAAUGCACCGUUACUAGUGGGCCAUUUUUGGUAAGCAGAACUGGCGAUGCGGGAUGAACCGAACGCGAGGUUAAGGUGCCGGAAUGUACGCUCAUCAGACACCACAAAAGGUGUUGAUUCAUCUAGACAGCCGGACGGUGGCCAUGGAAGUCGGAAUCCGCUAAGGAAUGUGUAACAACUCACCGGCCGAAUGAAUCAGCCCUGAAAAUGGAUGGCGCUCAAGCGUGCUACCCAUACCUCGCCGCCAGGGUAGAAACGAUGCCCUGGCGAGUAGGCAGGCGUGGGGGUCAGUGACGAAGCCUUGGGAGUGAUCCCGGGUAGAACGGCCCCUAGUGCAGAUCUU
rnacentral:rRNA from 1 species